rnacentral:rRNA from 1 species
GUGAAGUCGGAAUCGCUAGUAAUCGCGAAUCAGAAUGUCGCGGUGAAUACGUUCCCGGGCCUUGUACACACCGCCCGUCACACCAUGGGAGUGGGUUGCACCAGAAGUAGCUAGUCUAACCUUCGGGAGGACGGUUACCACGGUGUGAUUCAUGACUGGGGUGAAGUCGUAACAAGGUAGCCGUAGGGGAACCUGCGGCUGGAUCACCUCCUUA